rnacentral:tRNA from 1 species
CGGCGGCGGUGUGGGCACGGGUCCCCUCCCACGGGUCCGGGCGGCCCAGGCGCGCAGCCGUUCCGGAUCCGCCGCCCCCGC